GGAGAGAACUCCGAAUAUAUCCUUAGAAUCUGGGCAUUCUCGAAGUGCAAGCAUAGCAUCUACUAGUGGAGUAUGCAUGCCUAUGUCAAUUACACAACUCUCUCAUACCAUGCUGCUGAUUUAUGGGAAAUUCAAUUAUUAGACUGGAAUCUCCUUAAGCGUAGGAGUCGAAUAGACGCCAGUCUCAGUGAAGGGAAAAUUGAUUCGAAUCUGGAUGAAUACA
rnacentral:lncRNA from 1 species